CAUGGGCGUACGGGAAGGGAAAAAUUAGGGGGGCGGAAAGAAAUUUGCCCGACUUUUUGGAUGUGCCCGAGUUGUCAAAAAAAAUUUCCGGAGAAACUUUCCAAAAUUGUUGUCGACGGGGGGAGGAGUGAUAACGAAAAAUUCCUAUUAGAUAGCAUAUUUCCCACAAAAUUGACAGAAUUUCCCAAAAAAUUGACAGAAUUUGUCCCAUUUAUUUUUAUAAUAAGCCAAUAUUGCCCGACUGUAAAGCGAAUAUUGCCCGACUGGCUUUGUUUGCCCAACAAACUGGGGGGGGCUGCCGCCCCCUCCGCCCCCCCGCCCGGUACGCCCAUGAAAGUGACAAUAUUUUUUUAUUACCCAACCCUUUUCUCUUCCGUGACAAUUCCCGCCAUAAAUAAUGACCGCUCCCUAACAACCAUAUUCACAAUGAAAUGAAUGAAUUCCGUGGUACAAAUAAGG